AUAAUUAUGGAUAUACUACAUGAAAGGAUCGCCAAAUAUCAAAGUGUUAUCACAUCAACCACAUUAUAAUUAAAAGAAAACCACGAAAGAUCUUCAGAUUCACUUCAAAGAAAACUUAGGGUCACUUAUAUGGACUGUGUUCUACUGCUGGCAAUUACGAUCUGUGCUUCAUUUGCAACGCUCUUUCUGUAUAUCUUGUACAAAGUGUUGACUGAUAACAACUGCACAUUCCCCCUGUGUCCAUGCUACCAACCUCCCAAUGACGAUCAUGAUGAUGACCCUAACACGGCCUACCAAAGAGGGCCUUACAGUCAAGCUAAAGAGAAGCCUGACUAAAUGCAAAGGCAAAACUGCUCUAAGUAACAAUUAUAUGCAUGUAUAUCUACUAGGGAAAUGAUACGUAUAAUUGUAAGCUGUUAUUAAAACAUUAUGCACACAUACCUG